UUUUAUGGAUGAACCAAAAAACAAAAAAAGUGGUUUCUUGAGAUAGAAUCUACUUCUGGUGAAGAUGCUGUGAA
rnacentral:pre_miRNA from 2 species